GACGAACGCUGGCGGCGUGCCUAAUACAUGCAAGUCGAACGCAUUUUCUUUCACCGUAGCUUGCUACACCGAAAGAAAAUGAGUGGCGAACGGGUGAGUAACACGUGGGCAACCUGCCCAUCAGCGGGGGAUAACACUUGGAAACAGGUGCUAAUACCGCAUAAUUCCAUUUACCGCAUGGUAGAGGGAUGAAAGGCGCUUUUGCGUCACUGAUGGAUGGACCCGCGGUGCAUUAGCUAGUUGGUGGGGUAACGGCCUACCAAGGCUGCGAUGCAUAGCCGACCUGAGAGGGUGAUCGGCCACACUGGGACUGAGACACGGCCCAGACUCCUACGGGAGGCAGCAGUAGGGAAUCUUCGGCAAUGGACGCAAGUCUGACCGAGCAACGCCGCGUUAGUGAAGAAGGUUUUCGGAUCGUAAAACUCUGUUGUUAGAGAAGAACAAGGAUGAGAGUGGAAAGUUCAUCCCUUGACGGUAUCUAACCAGAAAGCCACGGCUAACUACGUG
rnacentral:rRNA from 1 species